AUUGAACGCUGGCGGCAGGCCUAAUACAUGCAAGUCGAGCGGACGAAGGGGGCUUGCUCUUCGCUUCCGCGGCCGACGGGCGAGUAAUGCCCACGAGUCUGCCCGGUCGAGGGGGAUAAGGUCCGGUCACGGGAGCGAAUACCGCAUCCGUCCAGAGGGUGAACGUGGGGGAUCAUUGGAGAUAACGCUAUUUGAUGAGACUAGGUCGGAUUAGCUAGUUGGUGAGGUAAAGGCGUACCAAGGCGACGAUCCGUAACAGGUCUGAGAGGAUGAUCAGUCACACUGGAACUGAGACACGGUCCAGACUCCUACGGGAGGCAGCAGUGGGGAAUCUUGCGCAAUGGGCGAAAGCCUGAUCGAGCCAUGCCGCGUGUGUGAAGAAGGUCUUCGGAUUGUAAAGCACUGUAAGUAGGGAAGAAGGGCAGUGUGUUAAUACCUGGCUGUUUUGACGUUACCAACAGAGAAAGCACCGGCUAACUUCGUG
rnacentral:rRNA from 1 species